rnacentral:rRNA from 1 species
UAUCUCUGUAGAGUCUGCAUAUCAAUAAGCGGAGGAAAAGAAACUAACUAAGGAUUCCCUCAGUAACGGCGAGUGAAGCGGGGAGAGCUCAAAUUUGAAAUCUUCAAGGGUUCUACCUUGACGAAUUGUAGUUUAUAGAAGUGUUUUCUGUUAGAGAGGUUGGUAAAAGUUCUUUGGAAUAGGACAUCAUAGAGGGUGAGAAUCCCGUAUUUGACUAUUCUUUCUAGCUUUGUGAUACACUUUCAAAGAGUCGGAUUGUUUGGGAAUGCAGUCCAAAAUGGGUGGUAAAUUUCAUCUAAAGCUAAAUAUUGGCGAGAGACCGAUAGCGAACAAGUACCGUGAGGGAAAGAUGAAAAGAACUUUGAAAAGAGAGUUAAACAGUACGUGAAAUUGUCAAAAGGGAAGCGUUUGACACCAGUGUUGUUUAGUUCGAAAAUCAAUUACGAAUAGUUUUCGAUUUUGAGAAGUAGUAUUGACCUUAUCAGGCUUGCUUCUUUCUUCUACGAAACUUAUUUAAUGCACUUUUCAGGUUAACAAGUCAACAUCAAUUUCUUUUGUUGUAAAAAGGUAAUAGGAAGGUGGCUUUCUCUUCGGCGCAAGUGUUUAUAGCCUGUGACUUCUGCAAUCGGAGAGAUUGAGGUCUGCAGCGUAGAUCCUUCGGGGUUAGAUACAUUUGUGCUAAGCUAUAGCCUUUUAUAGACAACUUGUUGACUAUGCUCUAGUCAUGUAGCUUACUCGCUUAUGCUAUUUUACCUACGCUUAGGAUGUUGACGCAUGAGAUAUACGC